rnacentral:rRNA from 1 species
AUACGGAGGGUGCAAGCGUUACUCGGAAUCACUGGGCGUAAAGGACGCGUAGGCUGGUUGGUAAGUCAGAUGUGAAAUCCUACAGCUUAACUGUAGAACUGCAUUUGAAACUACUGACCUAGAGUAUGGGAGGGGGAGAUGGAAUUAGUGGUGUAGGGGUAAAAUCCGUAGAUAUCACUAGGAAUACCGAAAGCGAAGGCGAUCUCCUGGAACAUUACUGACGCUGAGGCGUGAAAGCGUGGGGAGCAAACGGGAUUAGAAACCCUAGUAGUCC